UGUUGGGAUUCUAGUGGAGUAAAAUAACUAGGUAUGCACGACAUAUCGGCAGCAAUAUUAGUAUCGGCCGAUGUUGGUAAUUUUUUAACAUAUCAGUCCGAUAUGUAAAAUUGGGCUUUGAAAAAUUGUUUCUAUUUUCUGAAUUUCUAUGAAUCGGUGCUGAAAGGCAAAAAGUAGACUAUAAAGUCUGUGUGAUCACUAGUGAAAUACUUCAUGAACCACUGGACAGAUUUUAAAGAAACUACUGAAAGCAGUGAACAUUUAUAGCUGAUAAACAUUUGAAGUUAACCCAGAAAUAGAUGGUAGCCACAUCCACCUGAAAUAUAAAUACACAGAGCUAGCUAAAACUCAGUCAGUUCUACUGAUAUUGAGCUAUAGAGUUAUUCACCACUUACUCCAAAUCUUGCAAUGAGAUUGUGCCUGAUGUUAUUUUUAUGAUUUUACCUAAAUUACCGAUAUAAGAUUAUCUUACUUAGAAACUUUUACAAGAGAUUGUUGUGUGACGGGGUGAGUACUCCCUCUUCUCCACAACAUCUUUGUAAGACUGUCAUUCCAGGAGAGGGCACUCACCAGCUGUGGGGCAUUACCGAUCAGCGGCAGCUGCAGAUCCUCUAAUCAACCGCAGCAGAGCUCUAUUUAAGAGGAGAGGGAACCACUUCACAUCGCUGGAUGAUUAACUACUCACGGAUACUUGGAAUCGCUGAACCACAGAUGGAUGUACCUACCUGGAAGUCACCAUAACCCGCCUGGAUUACACACUCAAGGUUCACCUCUCCUCCAGCUUCACUUGCCCUCUGCCGCCAUCAUCUGGCUCCCUCUCCUGGACGUACCCCGUCACACCGUUUGCCCUCCCUGCUGGCUUUUGGACUCUUGCCGACUACUUCACACUUGGAUAUCUCCAGGACACUUUCAGUUAGGGUUAAUAAAUCAUUGUUUGAACUUUC